CGCACGGGUGAGUAACGCGUAUGCAACCUACCUAUCAGAGGGGAAUAACCCGGCGAAAGUCGGACUAAUACCGCAUAAAACAGGGGCACCGCAUGGUGAUAUUUGUUAAAGAAAUUCGCUGAUAGAUGGGCAUGCGUUCCAUUAGGUAGUUGGUGAGGUAACGGCUCACCAAGCCGACGAUGGAUAGGGGAACUGAGAGGUUGGUCCCCCACACUGGUACUGAGACACGGACCAGACUCCUACGGGAGGCAGCAGUGAGGAAUAUUGGUCAAUGGGCGGGAGCCUGAACCAGCCAAGUCGCGUGAAGGAAGAAGGAUCUCUGGUUCGUAAACUUCUUUUGCAGGGGAAUAAAGUGCAGGACGUGUCCUGUUUUGUAUGUACCCUGAGAAUAAGGAUCGGCUAACUCCGUGCCAGCAGCCGCGGUAAUACGGAGGAUCCGAGCGUUAUCCGGAUUUAUUGGGUUUAAAGGGUGCGUAGGUAGUUUGAUAAGUCAGCGGUGAAAGUUUGCAGCUUAACUGUAAAAAUGCCGUUGAAACUGUCGGACUUGAGUGUAAAUGAGGUAGGCGGAAUGCGUGGUGUAGCGGUGAAAUGCAUAGAUAUCACGCAGAACUCCGAUUGCGAAGGCAGCUUACUAAGCUACAACUGACACUGAAGCACGAAAGCGUGGGGGUCAAACAGGAUUAGAUACCCUGGUAGUCCACGCAGUAAACGAUGAUCACUAGCUGUUUGCGAUACACAGUAAGCGGCACAGCGAAAGCGUUAAGUAAUCCACCUGGGGAGUACGCCGGCAACGGUGAAACUCAAAGGAAUUGACGGGGGCCCGCACAAGCGGAGGAACAUGUGGUUUAAUUCGAUGAUACGCGAGGAACCUUACCCGGGUUUGAACGUAGGGAGACA
rnacentral:rRNA from 1 species